GAUUCGUGGGCGUGGCCGGUGGAGCUCCGCGCGUGCUCAGAGGGAAGAGGAGGAGUCCCGAGCGAGGCUUCCUUAGGAGACCGGGGCGCGGGACCUGCAGCCUCGCGUUCUCGGGCGCCUGUUAAACCCUCGCCUCCGCGUUGCCGUUUAAUCAUGGAUAUUCAAAUGAAAAAAGGAACUCCAUUUGCCCAGAGCCCCGUCUGUCCGUGUCAGCGUCCAGGACGCU
rnacentral:lncRNA from 12 species